rnacentral:misc_RNA from 1 species
UCCGGCUUAUCACCGGCGGUUACCUUAGAGUACCCAACUCAAUGCUGGCAACUAAGGUCGAGGGUUGCGCUCGUUGCGGGACUUAACCCAACAUCUCACGACACGAGCUGACGACAGCCAUGCAGCACCUGUCACUCAUCCAGCCGAACUGAAGAAAUCCAUCUCUGGAAAUCGCGAUGAGGAUGUCAAACGCUGGUAAGGUUCUGCGCGUUGCAUCGAAUUAAUCCACAUAAUCCACCGCUUGUGCGGGUCCCCGCCAAUUCCUUUGAGUUUUAACCUUGCGGCCGUACUCCCCAGGCGGUCAACUUCACGCGUUAGCUUCGUUACCAAGGAAUUGCUUCCCCGACAACCAGUUGACAUAGUUUAGGGCGUGGACUAC